UACGUAGGGUGCAAGCGUUAAUCGGAAUUACUGGGCGUAAAGCGUGCGCAGGCGGCUUUGCCAGACAGAUGUGAAAUCCCCGGGCUUAACCUGGGAACUGCAUUUGUGACUGCAUGGCUGGAGUGCGGCAGAGGGGGAUGGAAUUCCGCGUGUAGCAGUGAAAUGCAUAGAUAUGCGGAGGAACACCGAUGGCGAAGGCAAUCCCCUGGGCCUGCACUGACGCUCAUGCACGAAAGCGUGGGGAGCAAACAGG
rnacentral:rRNA from 1 species